AGCAAUAUCUUAACAUGUUUUCCUAACAGUGACUUUACUGACUCUGCAAAAAUAAAAAAAGUUCAAGAUUGAUUACACUUGUUAAUCUCAUAACACAAAGUUUCUAAACUAAUCUAUUGAUUUUUUACUGUUCUCAGAGUUCUAGAAUACGCAGUAAAUACAAUUGAUUGGAUCUUAUUAGAAGAAGACACUGACGGAAGGUAUUGCAUUCGACAUACUUUUCAUGUGAUUUCACACAAGGAUUCAACAGAUGGAAUAAAAAGAAUGCAAUUACUGAAAGUGCAUACACUGUAUGAUGUCCAGAGAGAAAUAAAGUCGAUUAAGUGGAACAAGUUUGGGAAGGCCAAUUUUAGUUGAUGAAAUUGGGACUGCAAUUCAUCAAUUGCCUUGUACUACUAAGCACAACAGUGUGAAAAGUAACUUGGACAAGUACACUGAUAUGCAUGUACCUAUGAUUGAAGAUAAUUCUUUUUCCAUGAUUUAAUAAAAAAAAUUUGUUUACAAUAA